AUCCUACUUCCUCCGUUCCGUAUUAAGUGACUUUUUAUUACGUGUAUAUAGAUUUUUUUUAGACAUAAAUACAUUCAUAUUUAGGCAGAUUUGAGUCACUUAGUGUGGGACGGAGGGAGUAUGAU
rnacentral:pre_miRNA from 1 species